rnacentral:rRNA from 1 species
ACGUAGGGUGCAAGCGUUAAUCGGAAUUACUGGGCGUAAAGCGUGCGCAGGCGGUUCGGAAAGAAGGAUGCGAAAUCCCAGGGCUCAACCUUGGAACUGCAUUCUUAACUACCGAACUAGAGUAUGUCAGAGGGGGGUAGAAUUCCGCGUGUAGCAGUGAAAUGCGUAGAUAUGAGGAGGAAGACCGAUGGCGAAGGCAGCAACCUGGGAUAAUUCUCACGCUCAGGCGCGAAAGCGUGGGGAGAAAAGAG